CCAAAGCCCUUUAAUAGGGUUUGGGGGGGGACACAACAUGGAGGGACAGUGCCCCAUAGAGAGCCCAGUGCCCCAUAGAGACCACAGUGCCCCAUAGAGAGCCCAGAGCCCCAUAGAGAGCCUAGUGCCCCAUAGAGCCCACAGUGCCCCAUAGAGAGCCCAGAGCCCCAUAGAGAGCCUGGCGGCGCCGUGGGGCUCAGGGAGGGUGUCGCUGAGGCCCGCUGCCGGCUGUGGGUCUGUCCAUGGGCCCCGCUAUGGGGCUCUCCGUGGGUCUGGCCGCGGGGCGCAGCAGGCGCCAGGCCCCGCGGCAGAUGAGGCCGAACCAGUAGAGCUGCGGCGCGAGGAGCGCGGCGGCCGCCAGGUUGGUGGCGGGGGGCAGGGCCGCGGGGACGCGCAGCAGCGGCAGCCCCCGGUGCCGCCCGUAGGCCCAGUACAGGUACGGGAAGAGCAGCACCCGGCACAGCAGGAACGUCACCAGCAGCGUCAGCCCGUUGAGGCGGUGCAGAGCCGAUGAGGACCUUGCCGAGGCAGACGAAGGGGGUGCUGAGCUCGGCCAUCAGGAGACACCCCAAGAAGAAGUCGCCCUUCCCCUGACGCCAGAGCUGGGGACACAGAGGGGGACACCACCAUGGCCGCGUGGUGCAGCACCAUGAGCAGGUCCUUGCGCAGGUAGGAGCCGGCGGCCGCGCGCAGCGACGGGGGAGGAGCCGCCUCGUGGCCCUUGACGCGGGCGCGGUGCCGGUGGCACAGGAACAUGGCGUACACGUCGUAGAUGAAGUAGGGCACGGCGAACUCGGGGUAGGCCUUGGCCAGCCAGUGCCUGGUCAUCGAUGACGUGCUGGCAGGAGGAGGAGAUGAUGUACCCGGCCGUGGAGGCCAUCACCGCCUGGCGGCCAGGAUGGCCGCGUGCGGCUCGGGGCAGCGCCGGCGCAGCGCGGCCCGGGCCAGCACGAACAGCCCCGGGAAGAAGAGGAGCCCCGCGGCCAGCGCCGCCCCGGGGGG
rnacentral:lncRNA from 1 species